rnacentral:ncRNA from 1 species
CUACGCUUCGCCGGUCGUUGCCAAAUCAACGACCGGAUUAGCAGUCCGGCCA